rnacentral:rRNA from 1 species
AGAUUAACAAAAUAAUACAAUAAUAUUUCAUUUUGAAAUUAAAUCAAAACAUUAUUAAAUUUAGUAAAGGUGAUUAAAAAUUAUUUAUAUUGUCUUAAAAAGUACUGUGAAGGAAGUUGAUUAAACUAUUUUUUAAAAAAAAUAAAUCCUUGUACCUUUUGCAUCAUGGUUUAACUAGAUUAAAACCCUAAAAAGAGAUUCUCGAAAUCUAAUGAGCUAUCUUUAACCUUCGUAAUAGAGUUGAAAGAAUAAUUGUAGCAGAAAUUUUCUUAGAGUUAAAGAUAGAAAUGAAAUUUUAUUCGCAUUAGAUGAUAGCUAGUUUUCUCCUAAAUACAUAGAAGUGUUUAAAACUAAUUAAGUAAUUAAUAGAUUUAAUGAUUAAUUUAUAUUUUAGUUUGAUCAUAUUUUUGAGGAUAAGCUCAAAAAUUUUUUAUAGUUUUACGUGUAAUUUUAUAUUUAAACUUAAUCUUGAAAAUAGCUACUGUUAAAGAAUUUGUUAUAAUUUCAUUACUAAGAGAAAAAUAUAAUUAAUUUGCUAAAAAUAUAGGAGAAUUAUUUCGUAAAUUAUGAAAUGAAUUAUAUAUCUGUUAAAAUCAGUAUUAAAAUUGUUAUAAAAAUUAAGAUUAUAUAAUCUUAAGACAUAAAUUUAAUUUUUAAUAUAAAAUUAUAAAAAGGAACUCGGCAAAAACACAUUCUGCCUGUUUAUCAAAAACAUGGCUUCAUGAAAUUUAAAAAUAUAGUAAAUAUAUAUUUAUAUAUACAUAUAUAUGAAGUCGGGCCUGCCCAGUGAGUUUAUUCAACGGCCGCGGUACCCUGACCGUGCAAAGGUAGCAUAAUACUUGCCUUAUAAUUGAAGGCUGGAAUGAAUGGUUUGACAAGAAUGUAGCUGUCUCAUUAUAAUUUAAUAGAAUUUUAUUUUAGGAUGAAAAAGUCCUAGUCAAAUUAAAAGACAAGAAGACCCUAUCGAGCUUGAAGUUAAUUGAUAAAAAAUUAAUACUUAUAAAAAUUGUUAUCAAAAAUUUUGGUUGGGGCAACUAAGGAGCAGAAAAAGCCUCUUUUUAAAAAUUGUACACACUAGUAAGGAUCCAAUAAUUUUGAUCAAAGAAAAUAGUUACCGUAGGGAUAACAGCAUUAUCUUUUUUGAGAGCCCUUAUCGAAAAAAAGGUUUGUGACCUCGAUGUUGGACCAGAAUAUCCUAAAGAUGCAGGAGUCUUUAAGGGUUGGUCUGUUCGACCAUUAAAAUUCUACGUGAUCUGAGUUCAGACCGGCGUGAGCCAGGUCAGUUUCUAUCUUUAAUUUUUAAAGCAUAUUUAGUACGAAAGGAUCAAUAUGUAAUAUUGUAUAUUUUUUUAGAGAAAGUAUAACGAAAGUUUAAAUUACUAU